GUAAGUUUGGCCGGUAGGUUCCCAGAUGGGGUGGAUGGAGUGGAAAGAGGUAGAACGGGGUUCACAUGAUGGGCUCUAUUCGUCCUCUGACUGUGUUCUAAGAGGCUGGGGACCAUAAAGAGAAGUGAAGAUGGAGGCUGACUUGGACCCAAGACAAGGAGACCUGCCAAACUGACUCUAACCCAAGAACUUGGGGAAGAGGGGCCCCGAUACCAUCAGCUAACAAAGGCAGAAGGAGUCCCUAAUGGCAGAGAGAAGUCUUUCAUUGGAGAAGUGACAGGACCAGCACAUCUGGCAGGAAACAUCUGGUUCUGUCAAUCAGCCCCUGGGAGGCGUCAGUCCCCAAGAAGGGAAAUCCCUGGGUGCCCCACUUUCUGGCCAGUUGGACUCGUAUCAGUACUGGAGGUACUGGAGGGAAGGGCUGGUGAUCGGUGGAUCAGAGGGACAGUCAGUACCCUUUGAGAAGUGAUCUGAUGUCUUUCUCUUCAGAAUCUCAAAACACCCUAUAGAAAGGGAUCCUUGGUUGUCCCUUCAUUUAUUCAACAAUAAUUAUUAAACUUAUUGCAUACCUAA